GUGAAAGGAAACUGGUGGAUAUUCAUGAAUAGAUGAACCCAUGCAAGAUGGCAGGCUGAAGAUAGCGGAUGAAGUUGCCAAACAGAAGCUGGUGGAGCAAUCUGGCUCUGAGGAGGCAAGGAUAAACAUCGACCCAAGGAGACAGGAGUGCUGGGAGACUGAGUGGAGACUGGAGAGCCUGGAAAAGGAAUACCUCAGCUCAAAGAUUGUACUAGUUACUACAUCAGAUAUACUGAGCAUGUGAAAUAAUCAGCUAUUUGGAAGCUCCAUAUUCUGCAAUCCAGCACGGCACGUAGAAGGUCAAGCAACACCCAUACCUUUGUUUGUGUGGAAGAAAAUGGAGCAAUACCUUCUAGCCAUCUGCUGUGCUUGUUGUUUCCUGUAUUUGGGCAAGGAACUGAAAAUGGCCAAAGUUUUAUAUUGUACCUCUUUCCCCAGAAGCAAAUAUAGGCAGAUAAUGGUGUUUCUUUAGAAUAAUUAAGAUUCAUGUCAUUUUUAUUCAAUCAACAGUAAAAUAACUAAACUGUAUAAUUACAAUAAAGAAGACCAACAGUUGUAUAGCUGAACUUUUCUGUCUUUUUUAAAAUAUAUCCUCAGAAAGAUAAAAGAAUUUUAGGUUACUGAAAUAUUCACAAUGGUUGUUUCUUGUUAAUAUAGGAUAUGUUUUUCUUUUCUUUUUUACUUUUUGUCAUGGCUAAAUGAUCAUAAUCAGAAAAAUAAAAGCAGUGUUAGAAAGUUUAAUAUCGCUCUCUAUUUCUUCAGAAAUUUUGAAGAAAACGUGUAUUACAUUGGUAUAUGACUUACAAUGGUUUCACAGCGAGGACUGCAAAACCACUUACAUAUAUAAACAUGGAAGAGAAUGCUAAAACAUUAAAACAUUGGUAGCCAUCUAUAAACACGAAGAAGUUUCAUAAAAUUCACACUCCAGGAAGACAUUCAUCAUAUGUCAACAGCCUGAUCCUUUUUUAAUAUAUAUACUUCAAAAUAUGUUUAAUUUGACAAUAAUAACAAUUAAAAACAGUCGAGGCCAAAAUCCACCAGGAAAUUCUUUAUGCAAGGCCUCCCUUGUCUUCUUAGAGGUCUCUGGUCUGCCAAGGGAGCAGGUGACAAGACUGCUGCCUCCUCAGUAUGCAGGAGACUUCCCAGGCAGCCACGUCUUUGUGAGGUCCACAUAGCAAAUAUUUAUGGAAAGGGCCCAAAACCUGUCAGAAAAGUCAAGGGUAUCCUGGAUCCCCUUUGAAAGCAUCUCCACUCCAAUUGGAAGCCAUGACUUUGGCUUUGGAACCGAUUUCAGCUAAGGUGUGUCUUUGCUCUCAUCUUACACUGAAAUAAUUGGAAACUGCACAAAAGCACUCAAAUGCUCUGGCUGAGAUCCCCUUUAUUACAAUGGGUCUUGCACAGGAGAACUUCCUGGCUAAUUGUGCUGCAAAUGAGAGAAGCAGGAUUCUAAGCUACAUGGCCUCUUUUUUAUUGGGCUGAUUUUUAUUUUUUUUUAAAGGCGAGGA